UACGUAGGGUGCAAGCGUUGUCCGGAAUUAUUGGGCGUAAAGCGCGCGUAGGCGGCUUUGCCAGUCGGGUGUGAAAUCCCCAGGCUUAACCUGGGAACUGCAUUCGAGACUGCAUUGCUAGAGUAUGGGAGAGGGAAGUGGAAUUUCCGGUGUAGCGGUGAAAUGCGUAGAUAUCGGAAGGAACAUCAGUGGCGAAAGCGACUUCCUGGACCAAUACUGACGCUCAUGUGCGAAAGCGUGGGGAGCAAACAGG
rnacentral:rRNA from 1 species